AGCUUUGUGCAGAGGCGGUACCAUGGCCAAUGAGGUAAAUCCUAGGCGUGAUUAUUGCUAGUUGUAUCGUCCAACUGACAUCGAGUAUGCGCUCGAUUUUAAGUAUCAAGGACUGACACAUAUACAUAUAG
rfam:Octopus bimaculoides Scaffold52207_contig_19, whole genome shotgun sequence.